rnacentral:misc_RNA from 1 species
UUCUAACAAGGUUUUAGAUUCUUAG